AGGACUUUGCAGAUUCUGUGUACAGGAGAUAAGUACCAGAGGGACUUAUUACACAGCACGAAUUACUUCUCUUGAGUUGACUAAAGCUGGCAGAUCAUAUGGUACAAUAAGAUGAGGAGUUGAAGCUUCCAAGACAUUACCUUGUUUCUCUCACAAAAAUUGACAGAGUAUCUGACUGUAGAGUUCUGGAGGGAAGCUGAUAUUCUGUCAAAGCUUCAUCACCCAAAUGUGGUGGCAUUUUAUGGUACUAUAUAUUCCCUCUGCUUGAUGUAAUUCUUUAACUUGGAAGGGAACCUAUUCACACAGAAGUUAAUGUGCUUAAGGCAUGAAAAGAGUUGUUCUAACUGCUUUUUCUGAACUGAUGAGCAAAAUCAAGUGAUGCAACAGCAGAAAUAAGAUAUGCAUGAGGAAAAUCGGAGGAUCCGUGAUAUCGUCCAGAAAAUAGAAGCAACACUUGCCCACUUUAGUGCAAAUCUUGGUAGUCUUUAUCAAGAUCCAAACAAAAAUAGCUCCAAUGACGAUACACUACCCCCCUCCACCUCCGAUGAUGAUACACUAUCCCCCUCUAGUCAAGAUUAGAUAGCAUAUUAUUUGAAUGAUUUGAAAAUCUGUUUUGGAUGGUGAAACUUAGCUGCAAACAAUAGAUGUAUUUUUUAUAGUGAAGCAAUUGCUACACUUUGGAUUUAAAUGAUUAAAUAAUGUUUGAUUCCCUUGAAUUGUUAAUAUUGUGGUGUUGAAUU